AUUGAACGCUGGCGGCAGGCCUAACACCUGCAAGUCGAGCGAGCGGCGGACGGGUGAGUAAUGUAUGGGGAUCUGCCCGAUAGAGGGGGAUAACUACUGGAAACGGUGGCUAAUACCGCAUACUAUCGGAUGAACCCAGAUGGGAUUAGCUCGUAGGUGGGGUAAAGGCUCACCUAGUCGACGAUCCCUAGCUGGUCUGAGAGGAUGACCAGCCACACUGGGAAUGAGACACGGUCCAGACUCCUACGGGAGGCAGCAGUGGGGAAUAUUGCACAAUGGGCGCAAGCCUGAUGCAGCCAUGCCGCGUGUAUGAAGAAGGCCUUCGGGUUGUAAAGCACUUUCAGCGGGGAGGCGUUACUCGCAGAAGAAGCACCGGCUAACUCCGGGCCAGCAGCCGCGGUAAUUC
rnacentral:rRNA from 1 species